ACUUCUCUCUUCCUGGCUUUGAUGCAGCAGUGGUGAUGCUGUGGAGGCCCAUACGACAGGAUGGACUCCAGCUAACAGGCAGGAAGAACCUAAGGCCCUCGGCCCCACAGUCUGGAGACAAGAUGGCUGACUGAAGCCAGCUUUCCACAGAGGCUCCCAUCCAGAAGAAGAGUUAAAGGGCAGAAAUUUACCAACUAACCAGGUGGAUUAGAGCUGCACCAAGAGAGAAGGUUGAAGAACACACAUCAACCAUGCUGAGGAAGUCUAUUUCACAUUUUACCAAAAAAAAAAAAAAGUUUUCCAGGUUUCCUAAGUGGGUCACCGUACAUGGGACCAAUUCAUGCAAAAGAUUGCAACAGAAACAGUGAUGGAGAAUUGUCUGUUAUGCCGCCCAGGAGCUCCC